AAGUCGUAACAAGGUUUCCGUAGGUGAACCUGCGGAAGGAUCAUUAACACGUAUCCAACGUUAAAAACCCCGUGAACCUUUAUCGCCGCUCCUCAUGGCUAAGUCUUGGAUAAAGCCAACACAGCAAUCCCUGCACUCGUCGAGAAAUGUAAAGAGGAGGGACCUCUGUUUGGUAGAGCACUGUGGGUUUGAGCGCUUGGUAAGGUGGCUUGCUUUUCCCCAAGCAAUCAGUGAAUGACAGUGUUACUGAUUGUCUAAGGAUUUCGCUUAACGAUCACUAGAGGUCGAUUACCGACCGGUGGAACAAGUCACAGGGCUUCGGCUCGCUCCGCGCUAACAACGCCGGGCAUUCAAAAACGUUUAAACAACUGUUAACAAUGGAUAUCUUGGUUCUC
rnacentral:misc_RNA from 1 species